CUUAUUGAAGCCAGACCUGUCUGUUGAACUUCUUCCCACGUAUUGUGGGUACAACUGCAUGACCCCCUGCUCUGCCAGUGUCAAGGUGAGAUGGUACCAUGUGACCAAAAGCCCCAGGGAACAGGGAGUCAGGAGAGCCGCCUCCUGAAGCAAUCUGGUUAACUCUUCCGGGUCUCACAGUGCUCACCAGGGAGGAAGUGAGGGGACGGGCUUCACUCAGGUAAACUUCUAGAGUUUCGUGAACAUCCUGUUGGAAGCCUCUUAUAACCACGGCAGGUCCUUCCAUUGGUAGCUCUCUCUCCCACUGCCGCCGCGGUGACCCCUUCCUACAUGGGUUUCAACCAGUUUCCCUUGGGUGCAACCGACUGUGUCUUGCCUCUGUGAUUCCAAGGAACUCUCGAUUCUUGCCUGCUUUGGGGCUUUUCCCACAGGGCAUGGGACUCCUAUACCUCAGCUCUCCUGGAGGCACAGCCCAGAAGCUCAGGGGUUGACUCUCACAGGCUCACCCAAGACGGAUGAGGUCCAAGAGCCUUUUGUCCCAAAGGCCUUUUGCAGAACAAGAAGGCGUGGAAUCGGCUGGGAGGAAUGAAAAGAAGGCGAUCUUUCUCGUACAACUGGGAACCAUGUCUUCACUGGAGGAGGUAAUAGGUCGCUUCUCACACUGUAAUCCCGGCAGAUUACUGUCGGAUAAGGUGUAUAGGUGACCUAACCUUUGUCUGGUGAUUUCAGGAUGGCAUGACUUUGUCCCAUCUCUCCCGCACUGGGCGUGUCAACAACACACUGGGAGGUGGGUAGAACAGGAAUUUUUCUUCCUUUUUUUUAAAAAAAAAUUUUUAUUUAUUUAUUUGACAGAGAUCACAAGUAGGCAGAGAGGCAGGCAGAGAGAGAGGAAGGGAAGCAGGCUCCCUGCUGAGCAGAGAGCCCCAUUCGGGCAGGGCUCGAUUCUAGAACCCUGGGAUCACAACCUGAGCCAAAGGCAGAAGCUUAACCCACUGAGCCACCCAGGUGCCCCAGA
rnacentral:lncRNA from 1 species